AGAGUUUGAUCCCUGGCUCAGAUUGAACGCUGGCGGUAUGCUUUACACAUGCAAGUCGAACGGGCUUGGGGGCUUGCUCCCGGGUUAGUGGCGAACGGGUGAGUAAUAUAUCGGAACAUAUCCGGAAGUGGGGGAUAACCUAGCGAAAGUUACGCUAAUACCGCAUAUGCCCUGAGGGGGAAAGGGGGGGAUCGCAAGACCUCUCGCUUUCGGAGUGGCCGAUACCGGAUUAGCUAGAUGGUGAGGUAAAGGCUCACCAUGGCGACGAUCCCGUAGCGGGUCUGAGAGGACGACCCGCCACACUGAACUGAGACACGUCC
rnacentral:rRNA from 1 species